UACGUAGGGUGCGAGCGUUGUCCGGAAUUACUGGGCGUAAAGAGCUCGUAGGUGGCUUGUCGCGUUGUUCGUGAAAACUCACAGCUUAACUGUGGGCGUGCGGGCGAUACGGGCAGACUGGAGUACUGCAGGGGAGACUGGAAUUCCUGGUGUAGCGGUGGAAUGCGCAGAUAUCGGGAGGAACACCGGUGGCGAAGGCGGUUCUCUGGGCCUGUACUGACGCUGAGGAGCGAAAGCGUGGGGAGCAAACAGG
rnacentral:rRNA from 1 species